GGGCUUGUAGCUCAGCUAGGUAGAGCAAUCGGCUCUUAACCGAUCGGUCAGGGGUUCGAAUCCCCUCAAGCCCG
rnacentral:tRNA from 2 species